rnacentral:rRNA from 1 species
AUACGGGGGGGGCAAGCGUUGUUCGGAAUUACUGGGCGUAAAGGGCGCGUAGGCGGGCAGGAAAGUCUCUCGUGAAAUCCCACGGCUCAACCGUGGAAUUGCGGGAGAUACUACUUGUCUUGAGUUCGGGAGAGGAGUGUGGAAUUCCCAGUGUAGCGGUGAAAUGCGUAGAUAUUGGGAGGAACACCGGUGGCGAAGGCGGCACUCUGGACCGAUACUGACGCUGAGGCGCGAAAGCUAGGGGAGCAAACGGGAUUAGAUACCCUAGUAGUCC